ACCUCUAGGAAUGUCAAGAACUAUACUAUCAUAACCUUUGCACACUUUAUCCAUUGAGACGGUAGCAUAUCCAAGUGGUAUUAGUGUCACAUGGAUUCUUGGUGUCUUGGUAGGGUCUGGAGGAUUAUAAACACCGACAGCGACCUUGAUUGUGUCAUUCCCUCUUGGAAUAUGUAGCUCAAUUGACGUCAUUGGAGUCGUGACAUCAUCUAUGGGGAAGCUGUAACACCCAAAAUUUGAAUUUCAAUUAAUAGGAUUUAAUUUGAUUUAUUUAAGUAUUUUUGUGAGCAUUUAAUUUAGUGAAUAAAUAAUUUUGUUAAAAUUAAAAUUCAUUAUAUGUUAGUAAACUUGAUUGUGCAUUCAUGCUGAGGUAUAUUUUAUUUUGUGCUAAUUUCUUUUGGUUGGAUUUUGGUUGCUCUCAAAACCCUAUUUUAAGAAGGCUUUAGAAAACAGAAAAAAAAAGAAAAAAGAAGAAGAAAAAAAAAACAAAGGAGGAAACCCCAGCCGGCCCAACACCCCUCCCUUUCCUUUUCCCCUUGCGCGCGGCCUAGGAAACCCCCAAGGCCCAGCCGCUCCGCAGCCCAGCUCCUUCCCAGUCCCGGCCCAGCGCGCACAGCCAGUGGACAGGCCGCAGCGCGCCCCUUCUCUCUUCUCUUCCUUGGUCGCUGACAGCACGGGCCCACACGUCAGCGCCCUUUCCUUCUUCCUCCCUGGCGAGUCCAAGCCGGUCACGAACAGCAGGCUAAAUCCAAUCCGGGAGCGCGAUUUCCUUGCCGUUUUGCACGAACCGAGGCCCUAUAAAGCAUCCCGUAGCGCCACACAUGUUCCUUUCGCAUCCAAACCAACUAAAACCGUGCCCUAGCCACCUCUAUCGGCGUUUUCGGAUCUCGCCGAGCCGCGAGUCGAGACGCCACCGCCGCGGGUCACCCCUGCCCCUUCCCAGCUCGAGAAGGACACGUGGGUGAGUGCGCGAGAAGCUUCUUUGCGUUUUGGUGAACUUAUUUCAAUUUCUAGCG
rnacentral:lncRNA from 1 species